rnacentral:tRNA from 1 species
GGAGAGGUGACAGAGUGGACGAUCGUACCGGUCUUGAAAACCGGAGUCCCUUUACGGGGACCGUGGGUUCGAAUCCCACCCUCUCCG